rnacentral:lncRNA from 1 species
CAAGGAUGCCUGAGGGGAUUUGAGUCCUACAGGCUCAGCACUUAUGAAAAAGGAUAAAGUCCUUCCCAGCCUGGCAGGAGAAGGAAAAGCCUGUGGUGGGGGAAGGGAGUGAAGGCGUGUGCCUCCUCAUGGAACACAGGGUCGGAGUCGGCUAGGAGGGAUAAGAGUACAAUAGAGGGUUGUGUGACACAGACAGGCUGCCAGCCCUCAGCAUGGACCCGGCACAUGGAAUCUGUGAUCUUAAAAGAGUCAAGUGACUACCUUUGGCAACCAAAAGAGACACUGCCUUUUAGAAGGCAUAUCAUCUGAAACUGGCUGAAAGAGCUGUCUUACUUAGGAAGAAAAAUCUCUCCUUUGGAAAGAGCUGGAACUUUUAGUAAAACUGAACAGUGAGGUGGCGGAAGUAGAGAUGAUGUCUUGCCACAUUGCCCAGGCUGGUCUCAAACUCCAGGCCUAAAGGGAUCUUCUGACUUUGGCCUCCCAAAGUGCUGAGAUUAUAGGAUCGAGGCUAUCAAGCUACAGAUGAUCUUACAAAUGGAACCCCAAAUGAGCUCAACUAACAACUACCAAGGACCCCUGGACCAACCCGCUGGCCCUUUCAAUGGCCUAAAGAGUUCCCCUCUGGAGGACACUACAACUGCAGGGUCCUUUCUUUGCCCCUAUCCAGCAGGAAGUAGCUAGAGUGGUCAUCACCCAAUUCCCAACAGCAGUUGGGGUGUCUUGUUAAGUGGGGAGAUUGAGAGGUGAAGCCAGCUGGGCUUCUGGGUUGGGUGGGGACUUGGAGAACUUUUCUGUCUAGCUAGAGGAUUGUAAACACACCAAUCAGUGCUAUGUGUCUAGCUAGAGGUUUGUAAAUGCACCAAUCAGCACUCUGUAAAAACGGACCAAUCAGCACUCUGUAAAAUGGACCAAUCAGUAGGAUGCGGGCAGGGCCAAAUAAGGGAAUAAAAGCUGGCCACCUGAGUCAGCAGUGGCAACCCACUCGGGUCCCCUUCCAUGCUGUGGAAGCUUUGUUCUUUCACUCUUCACAAUAAAUCUUGCUGCUGCUCACUCUUUGGGUCCACACCACCUUUAUGAGCUGCAACACUCACUGCGAAGGUCUUCAGCUUCACUCCUGAAGUCAGCGAGACCACGAACCCAUGGGGAGGAACAAUCGACUUCAGACAUGCCACCUUUAAGAGCUGUAACACUCACUGCGAAGGUCUGUGGCUUCACUCCUGAAGUCAGCAAGACCACGAACCCACUGGAAGGAAGAAAUUUCGGACACAUCUGAACAUCUGAAUGAACAAACUCUGGACACGCCAUCUUUAAGAACUGUAACACUCACUGUGAGGGUUCAUGGGUUCAUUCUUGAAGUCAGCAAGACCAAGAACCCACCAGAAGGAACCAAUUCCGGACACAGACUCACUGCAACCUCCACCUCCUGGAUUCAAGUGAUUCUCCUGCCUCAGCCUCCGGAGUAGCUGUGCCUACAGGCACAAGCCACCACACACGGCUAAUUUUUUGUAUUUUUAGUAGAGAUGGGGUUUCACCAUGUUGCUCAGGCUGGUCUCCAACUCCUGAGCUCAAGUGAUCCACCUGUCUCGGCCUCCCAAAGUGUUGGGAUACAUGUGUGAGCCACUGUGCCCGGCCUCCUCUGGAUUAGUUCUUACAGGAAUAGAUUAGUUCUUGCUCGAGCAAGUUGUUAUAAAAGUGAGGUUGCCUCUAGUGUUUUGCAUCCUCACAUAUGUCUGCUUACCUCUUGACCUCUCUCUGUGUUAUGACCCAGCACAAAAGCCCUUACCAGAAGCCAAGCAGAUGCUGAUGCCACACCCCUUGGACUUCUCAGUCUACAGAGCCAUGAAACGAAUAAACCUCUCUUUAUAAAUUAUCCAGCUUCAGGUAUUCUGUUAUAGCAACACAAAAUGGACGAAGACAACUACCUUAUCAUAAUAAUACUAUGAUAGUCAAAAUAGAUAAUGUCUGUUAAAAUGCUUAAACAGUUUACACACGUUAUUUUUACCUCAUUAGAGUGAUUUAUUAUUCAUUAAUAUGUAGAGCAGCAUUAAGGUAUAACAACAUAAACAUUGAGAUCAUUAAUCAAGGGUCCUGAGAUUCUACUCUUGUUCUCCAUAAAUUAGCUGAGUAAAUAUGGUAAGUCAUUUAACAUUUGGGCUUCAGGUUUCUUAAUCUAUAAAAAUGACAAAGUAUCAUUUAGAACCUUCUAGCUAGGAAAUAUAUCAUUUUGUGAUCUCCUAAAUCUAGUUUUUUUCUCACAUACUGGCUCUAAUUUUUUGAGAUAGGAUCUUGCUCUGUUGCCCAGACUGGAGUGCAGUGGCAUGAACAUGGCUCACUGCAGCCUUAAC